AACGGGAGGGGCAAGCGUUAAUCGGAAUUACUGGGCGUAAAGCGUGCGCAGGCGGUUAUAUAAGUCAGAUGUGAAAUCCCCGGGCUCAACCUGGGACCUGCAUUUGUGACUGCAUCGCUAGAGUACGGUAGAGGGGGAUGGAAUUCCGCGUGUAGCAGUGAAAUGCGUAGAUAUGCGGAGGAACACCGAUGGCGAAGGCAAUCCCCUGGACCUGUACUGACGCUCAUGCACGAAAGCGUGGGGAGCAAACAGG
rnacentral:rRNA from 1 species